rnacentral:lncRNA from 1 species
AUCCCCUCUGCACCAUGGUAACUCAAUUUAUCACUUGGAACAAGCCCUGCUGGAAGGGUUUCAGCUCAGCCCGGGUGAUCAAACGUAUCGCCAGAGCAGAGGCAAUGCUUAAAAUAUUUGGCAUAAAUCACAUCUUUCAGGGACACAGGUAACGAGGCUGUGAUUUAGCUCCCCUUGCACAUGGGGAUUUUUUUUUUCAUCGUGUUUUCCUUUUUAAUGACCCACUUAAACCAUUUCUGAAGAUUUAAUUUAUGGGUCCACAUUCUUAACAGAGGGUUAGCGGCCUCGGCGCAUCAGCUUUGGCGGCCUUAUCGCUCGAUUCAUUCCGCAUGGUUUUGCAUGACCGCACAAGGGCUCAGCGCGCUGACUGGUAUGCAGAUAAAAGAGGGGAGGAAAGCGUUCACUCACAGCCGGGCAGCCGCAGCAGCUGUGGAAUAGCUAAGCGGGUGUGUUUGGGGAAGCUGUGAAUGGCCGAGCAUGCUGUGAUCCAUGUGGCAUCUCGGCUGCUUUGAUGGACUCUCUGAAUGAGAGUGAGACGGGUUUUCCGCACACCCGGUUUGAGCCUGGCGUUGUUGGAAAUGAAGAGCCGGAUUCAACCCAGCAGGCACCAACUGCAGUCAAUCGGUGCCCUGUGGGUGAGGACCGACGGGGCUACAGCCGGUUGCCUGUGCUUGGGGAAAUCAGGCAGGAGAAGACAGCUGUACAGAUUACAGCAUUUGCAGAAGCAGGAGGAAGAUGACAGUUAACACAAGAGAAAAGCUGUGGGUGUUUGAGCUCCUCUGUGUGUGUGUGACACGAACGCUCCAGAAGAAAGCAGUACAGAUCCAGCUUCAGGAUGUUAAUAUCAGUACUGGCCUUCAAGGAGGUGUUUCAUAAUCUCUGAUGACAUUAGGUACAGGGAUAUAGGAUUCAUUAAGAUGGAUCGGGCCAUUGGGUCCUGUAAUGGGACUUUUGGGUGCUCAAGGAGCACCAGAUUGGGCUUUCAGGCCCAAAUUCUCCAACAGAAUCUCCUAAAUUGGGAGCCUCCAUUUUUAGCCCAUCUCGAAGCAUCUACCAGGACCUGGUGCUUCACAGCAGCAACUCCAGUCAAAUCAAUGGGAUCUGUGGGGGUUCAGCAUUUCUGAAACUGGGCCCUACGGGUGUCAAGUUGGGCACCCAGCACUUGAAGCACCCUCAUACCCCAUCAUGGUAGCCUCCGAGUACCCACCCCCCAACAUUAAUAGUUACUAGUUGAUUAAUCGGUAAUUA